AUUGAUGCGUUUAGUGAGGCCUUCUGACUGGCGCCGCUACUCUGGCAACAGAGCGGCGGAUGCCGGGAAGUUGGUCAAACUUGAUCAUUUAGAGGAAGUAAAAGUCGUAACAAGGUUUCCGUAGGUGAACCUGCGGAAGGAUCAUUACCGAUGUGAAAGAAUCCAAGGUUAAACAUCAUUAACCAGGGUGAACGGUGAAACACCUCUUUAGGGGUCGGCACAGGCGUGGGUCGUUAAAGGGCGAAUAGGUUCCUUCCGCCAGCCCCGCCAUUGGGUUUAUGAUAUCACUUUGAACGUUAAAGACUGAAAACGUAUGUAUCAGGCUUUAAAGGUAUGAGAAAAAAGGAAAAAAAAAUGAAAGACAACUUUUGACGGUGGAUCUCUGGGUUCACGUAUCGAUGAAGAACGCAGCCAGCUGCGAUAUGUAGUGUGAAUUGCAGAAUUCAGUGAAUCAUUGAAUCUUUGAACGCAAAUGGCGCUCUUGGGUUCUCCCAGGAGCAUGUCUGUCUGAGUGUCGGAUUUUAUCGAACGCACUCGUGAGUGCGGUAUUGAGGUGUCACGGCGUGUUAGCAAGCAAGCAUUAAAUCGCCGUGUCCCUUGAAGGACAGCAGCAUUGGACUCGCAUUCUCUAUUGAAACUUGAGUGCGAAGGCUAAAGAUAAUAUUUUCCUUCGCCCAAACAUGCAAUAGCAGAAACAAGAUCCAAUCAAAGCGGUGAGUGACAAUAAACAUCAAAUCUUGACCUCAGAUCAGGCAAGGCUACCCGCUGAAUUUAAGCAUAUUAAUAAGCGGAGGAAAAGAAACUAACAAGGAUUCCCUCAGUAACGGCGAGUGAAGCGGGAAUAGCUCAAAUUUGAAAUCUCCGACGCUUGCGUCGGCGAAUUGUAGUUGCGAGAAGCACUUUCUAGGCGGAUCGGUCGUGCCUAAGUUGCUUGGAACAGUACGUCAUAGAGGGUGACAACCCCGUCUGUGGCUCGGCCGGCCGCUGCAUC
rnacentral:rRNA from 1 species